rnacentral:rRNA from 1 species
AUUGAACGCUGGCGGCAUGCCUUACACAUGCAAGUCGAACGGCAGUACGGGAGCAAUCCUGGUGGCGAGUGGCGAACGGGUGAGUAAUAUAUCGGAACGUGCCCAGUCGUGGGGGAUAACGUAGCGAAAGCUACGCUAAUACCGCAUACGAUCUAUGGAUGAAAGCGGGGGAUCGCAAGACCUCGCGCGAUUGGAGCGGCCGCUAUCAGAUUAGGUAGUUGGUGAGGUAAAGGCUCACCAAGCCGACGAUCUGUAGCUGGUCUGAGAGGACGACCAGCGACACUGGGACUGAGACACGGCCCGGACGCCUACGGGAGGCAGCAGUGGGGAAGUUUGGACAAUGGGCGCAAGCCUGAUCCAGCAAUGCCGCGUGCAGGAUGAAGGCCUUCGGGUUGUAAACUGCUUUUGUACGGAACGAAACGGCGAGCUCUAAUACAGUUUGCUAAUGACGGUACCGUAAGAAUAAGCACCGGCUAACUACGUGCCAGCAGCCGCCGUAA